AUCCUACGGGAGGCAGCAGUAGGGAAUCUUCCACAAUGGACGAAAGUCUGAUGGAGCAACGCCGCGUGAGUGAAGAAGGGUUUCGGCUCGUAAAGCUCUGUUGGUAGUGAAGAAAGAUAGAGGGAGUAACUUGCCUUUAUUUGACGGUAAUUACUUAGAAAGUCACGGGUAACUACGUGCCAGCAGCCGCGGUAAUACGUAGGUGGCAAGCGUUGGCCGGAUUUAAUGGGGGUAAAGCGAUGGCAGGCGGGUGUAUUAGGUU
rnacentral:rRNA from 1 species